AAACUUUCAACAACGGAUCUCUUGGUUCCGGCAUCGAUGAAGAACGCAGCGAAAUGCGAUAAGUAAUGUGAAUUGCAAAAUUCCGUGAAUCAUCGAAUCUUUGAACGCACAUUGCGCCCUCUGGUAUUCCGGGGGGCAUGCCUGUUCGAGCGUCAU
rnacentral:rRNA from 1 species